GAUGAACGCUAGCUACAGGCUUAACACAUGCAAGUCGAGGGGAAACGAUGAGAGAGCUUGCUCUCUUAGUCGUCGACCGGCGCACGGGUGAGUAACGCGUAUCCAACCUGCCUCUGACCAAGGGAUAACCCGUCGAAAGUCGGACUAAUACCUUAUGCAGUCGUCGGAAGUCAUCUGAUGACGACGAAAGAUUUCAUCGGUGAGAGAUGGGGAUGCGUCUGAUUAGCUUGUUGGCGGGGUAACGGCCCACCAAGGCGACGAUCAGUAGGGGUUCUGAGAGGAAGGUCCCCCAAAUUGGAACUGAGACACGGUCCAAACUCCUACGGGAGGAAGCAGUGAGGAAUAUUGGUCAAUGGGCGUAAGCCUGAACCAGCCAAGUAGCGUGCAGGAGGACGGCCCUAGGGGUUGUAAACUGCUUUUAUGCGGGGAUAAAGUGAGGGACGUGUCCUUCAUUGCAGGUACCGCAUGAAUAAGGACCGGCUAAUUCCGUG
rnacentral:rRNA from 1 species